rnacentral:sRNA from 1 species
CGUCUGGAAAGCGGGUUGCAAGGUACCUGAAACACAAAGACAGAAAAGGCACAAUGUUAGUUACUUGUGUAACAAAAACGAACUUGAUCUUAACGUUUCUAAUGAUCUCAAAUAUAGCAAACAAACACCAAACUGGUAACGGUGCCAAAUUGAUAGUAGGAUUUUACUCAAUUAAUCCCUAAAACACUAUCUUGUCGUCGUAGUAUUUUAGGAUGUCAAUCCAAUCCGGUGUGAUGCAAACAGAUGAGAUAUGAUCAGAAAGCUCUAAGUCAAGCCAAGCAGAAAGUUGGUUGGUUCUAACAGUCCUAGUAUGCAAUAACAGAAAUGAAAUGAAACUAAAAGCAGGAAUGGCAAUAGCAGGCAAGUGAAUGACAAAGCAGAAAUGAUAAAGGGCAAUCAAAUGGAUAAACGAUUCCUAAGGAUGGGGGUAAUCGAAUAGUGUGGUCUACUUAAUCUAUUCAGGCGGUUGACAAAACUUCACAGAAGCUAUCCCUAGACAACAAGUUCAACAACAGAUUAAUUCACUCCCGUGAUAGAAAUCCUCAAGCAAAGCUAGACACUAACCUAAAUCCCUUUAGCGAUCUCUAACUAAGCAGGCAUUAUCGAAUCAACAUGUUAAAGUCAAUACCCUCUCUAUAGCCAAUCCCUUGGGGUAGAGUCAAAUAUCUCUGGAAUUAAUAGGAUCCAACGCCCAUUAAACGCCUUCUGAGUGCUAGACGUCUGGACUCAUACUCCACAUUAGCCAGUGAAAUAAGCAAUAAGCACAACUAAUCCAGAAGGGAUUCUAGAAUUCUAAACUCAACCACCUAAAAGGACCAAGUAAACCACAACUAUUCUAUCCUAUCCUCAGAAAUACAGUUCACUACUCAGACAUAAUCAAAGACAAUAACAAAGCAACAAUUGAAAACAUAAUAACAGAAAUGACGAAAGACUUAAACGAAAACUGAAUAUCAAAUACUUGAAAGCGAAACUACAAAGUCGCGGGAGAAACACUGCGGCUAUCAAAGUUGCGAAAAUGUAAAAGCGAGAUAAAAACGGAUAAUAGCGGAUGCCCUAGGGAAAACCCUAAGGGGCAGUUUAUAUAAGCGAGAAAUGAAACAAAUAAGGAAACUAAAUAUAUAGGGAAUCUUCACGUCAUGAUCCUGCGACCGAAUGUGUCAUUGGCAUUUGACGGGCUGAAAUGAGCUUCCUAGUGAUCGAGUAUGUCAUUGAUCAAACUGGGCUUUAGGGGCUCCGUCUUGCGAUUGAGUGAGAUGCAGUGAAGUCGAGAUUGAAUGGUCCAACAACCCUGUGAUCGAGUGGAUGUCAUGAGGUGGUGAUCGAGUGGUUUCUUCGGCUUCUCUUCUCUUCUUUGUUCUUAGCUUGUCUGGUUGAGUGCAGAAUGAGCAGAUAGGUUUCCUGGUGAUCGAGUGGUUCCGAUGGGGUGAUUCCUCCGGCUUCUCGAUUGAGUGAAACUGAGCUGCUUGCUUCUCCGGGGUUGCGAUAGAGUGAUUUGCCCUGGCAGGGCUCCGAGGAUGCGAUAGAGUACUUUUGUUGAAGGCGUCAUUGGGCAUUCUGACUUCAUGUUCUGUUUUUCCUCUGUUUAAACUCCAAAAGCAUCCAAAGUACCUGAAAACAACCAAAUAUGCCAUGCACAUGCAAUCCUAAUGCAAAAUCGUCCUAAGUAUGUAAAACACACUAAAACGACUCCUAAUGAGAUGAAAUGUGGAUGAAACAAUGACAAAGUGGUGAAGAAUGAAUGCCUAAAUCAUGCAAAUUAUAGACAUAUCAGUAGUAAGUUGGUCGAGUAAUUGUAAAAACUAAGAAACAGGCAAUGAGAACGAUUAAGCGAUAACGAUAAAACAGAGAAAUAAUAUAGACGAGAAAUUCCUAAGGAUGGGGUAAUCGAAUAGAGUGGUAUCCUAGCCUAUCCGAAUGGUUAACUAACGCAAUCAAGCUAUCCGUAGACAACAGGUUCAACAACAGAUCAAUUCACUCCCGUGAUAGAAAUCCUCAAGCAAAGCUAGCCCAGACUAAUUCCCAUUAACGGAAUCUAACUAUGCAAGCAAUAAGAAUAGACUGAUAAAGUCAAUAAACGCUCUAAACGGCCAAUCCCUUGGGAUAGAGACGAGUAUCUCAGGAACUAGUGGAUCAAGCAUUCCAUCGAACACCUUCUGGGUGCGGGAAUGCUUGGGAUCGAAUUCCAGUUGAUUAGAAAGAAAUAAGCAGUAAACGCAACUAGUCUUGAAGGGAUUCAAUCAAUUCUAAAACUUGACCAUUCUACAAACUAAGGAUUCCACAACUACUCUAUCCCAUCCCUAAGAAUUCUAAGUCACUACUCAGACAACAUGCUCAAAGAUAUAAACGCAGAUAAAUGAUAAUAUUGCAUAAGUAAAGAGAUAAAGAGUAGAGAAAAAGGAUGACAGAUGAAAUCAAAUGCGGAAUCUGAAUAACUUGGAAAAAUCUCGAAUUACAGGUUGCAGAAGCAAAAGCGGCGCAGUAGAGUAAAACAGAAAAUAAAACUGAAGCAAAAACUCAAUGUCGACUAGAUGUCAGGACAGAACCCUAAGACAUCUAUUUAUACAAAACGAAAUAAAAUGAUAGUAGACGGGCCAAUAACCUAAUCGUUUGGCCCAUAGAGUGAUAAUGGGCCAGAUGGGCUUCGUGAUCCGAUGGAGAUCCAGUUUGUCUGGUUGAGUGCAGAUUUGAGUAGACUGUGAAGAUGUGAUCGAGUGUCCGGUCGAGUGAUGGUGAUGGUGGUGAGUAAUGAUACUCGACCAGGGGGUCGAGUAACAUGGUAGAGUAAAUGGCCUAGUGUGGUCAGGUGGUGUGGCGAAGUGAUACUCGACCAGGGGGUCGAGUGGCGUCAUCGAGUGGCCUGAGCUGAGGAUACUCGAUCAGGGGGUCGAGUAGAUGGGAAGAAUGGCUCCAAAGUCACUUGACCUGGGGGUCGAGUAUGGUGCUGGAUGCACACGACCUGGUGGUCGAGUAUGUCUUCGGGUUCUCGCUCGUUUCUUCCAAUUUGCUCGCAAACAGCUCCAAAUUACCUGAAAACAACUCAAAAAUGCAAUAUGUAUGCAAAGCUAUCCGAAUCAUGCAAAGUAUGCAAGAAUUAUGAGAAAUGAUAUAAAACAAUGAUGAAUAAUACGAAAUUGGACUCAAAACGAUGAUGAAUGGACAUUGAAAACAUGCAAAUUAUAGACAUAUCACACUCGACCCCCUGGUCGGUUAGAGGACAUCACUACUUCACCACAUCACUCGACCCCGAU